AAGACAUUAGUAAAACAUUACAUCACCUUGUCAAGGUGAAAUUGUAGGUGGAACCCCUGCAUGUCUUA
rnacentral:tRNA from 1 species